rnacentral:rRNA from 1 species
GAGUUUGAUCCUGGCUCAGAGCGAACGCUGGCGGCAGGCCUAACACAUGCAAGUCGAGGGGCCGUAGCAAUACGGCACCGGCAGACGGGAGAGUAACACGUGGGAACGUGCCCUUCAGUUCGGAACAACCCAGGGAAACUUGGGCUAAUACCGGAUACGCCCUUACGGGGAAAGAUUUAUCGCUGAAGGAGCGGCCCGCGUCUGAUUAGCUUAUUGGUGAGGUAACGGCUCACCAAGGCGACGAUCAGUAGCUGGUCUGAGAGGAUGAUCAGCCUCACUGGGACUGAGACACGGCCCAGACUCCUACGGGAGGCAGCAGUGGGGAAUAGUUGGACAAUGGGCGCGAAGCCUGGUCCAGCCAUGCCGCGUGGAUGAUGAAGGCCCUAGGGUUGUAAAGUCCUUUCGGCGGGGAAGAUAAUGACGGUACCCGCAGAAGAAGCCCCGGCUAACUUCGUGCCAGCAGCCGCCGCGGUAAU